GUUUUGUGUCCAUGUGUAUUUCGCCACAUUUAGGAAAGAUCUGGCCAUACCGACGACUCUGUACCUUUAAAAUGGGAACCACAAAGCCUUCCUGUUUGAGGAUGCCAAAUUCUCUUCCAUGUGUUAAGCACUGAAAAUACAAAAUAUACAUAGGUUGCUUUCCAUUAUAAGAUAGGAUGAAAAUAAAGACCAAGAACUAUGGCUUUGCUUUAGUUUUUCGUCUCCGUACUAAAUAGUACAACCCGUCUGGGGAGUAAAGUCCUAAGAAAAGCGCCGUGCAAUCCCAAGCAAGCUGAUGCUCCCGGGAAGUACAGAAGUCUGCAAACUGCUCUUUGGCCAGGAGGGAGGAAUUGAUUUUUCCAGGGACCUCAGCCGAAUCUUAAUUGUAGUCACUAUGCCAAUGGAGGAUUCCGGGUCCCCUUCACUCUCCAUGUGGGGCUGUGGUCUCAAAGCCUAGAUUCCCUGGGUCCGAUGGCAGAUACCCUAAUUGACCCCCCCCCCACCCUGAUUCUCCAGCCCCCGUUUUUUCUUCAGAGCUGCCGAACUGUGCCGUCUGCACGGCUUCCUCCUGCACUGAAUUCUUCGCACCUGCCAGGGUCACGACUCCUGCUGAGAACUUUCAUCGCAUCCUGCUGAUGCUGCACCCUGGGGCCCUGAUGAUUGCACACCCCAGGCUUCUCCUGGCUCUUACUCCUGUAGAUUUCCAGAGAAGGAAGUGCGUGGUGGGAGUCAGGGACAGCAGAGAAGGAUUUUCCAGAAAGGGGAACUGACAACCGGUCUUUGGAGAACGAGCCUCCAAGGGAAGCAAAGCUCGAGAGGUGAGGGGAACUCAUUCGAGUCUGAUAAGUGAAACAGCAGCUGGCCACACUGUUUCGUGGCCCACACCUCGUGAGCAGCCUUCAUCCCUGCUGAGCCCCCCUCUUCCAUCGUCUGGUGGUAGCACGGGACUGGUAAGCCUCGAAUGUGCAGAGCAAGGGCUCAGUGAGCCGGCCAGCCUGGAGGGGGCUGGGGAAGGGGCUGCUCCCCUCCCCUUGGGUCCUGUCACUCUGCUCCAUGCCCGACUCCCUCCUGCCGCCAGCAAGAGGCACUGGCCUCUGCCGUGAAUUCUACCCCGUGCGGUGCUCCAUCACAAACAUGGAAAAAUGUGGGAAACGCCUAGAUAAAGUCUCCAGAUGGUGUUUCACCACGCAAAGUGAGCUAGUACGUAAUGCCCCGGGGAGGGAGGGGGGUGGUGAGGGGAGGCAGCUGGGGAAGCAGCCUUGCUCCGAUCCUCCUGGGCACCUGCUCCCUGGUGAGGACAACGGCAGAACCUUGGUGUCCAUCGAGGGAGAUAUUUACGCACACAAUCGACCGAUGCAAGUCGCCCGGGAUCGGUGCCCAGGGCUCUAGGGACGUGUGGAGGAAGACGGGAACAUUCCAACCUUGGCGCAUCUUGGAGAUGCAGACACGGAGGCAAAGAGCAGCAAAGUGGCUUCUCGAGAUCACCUGACCUGUGAGGGGCGGGGUCCGGAUUUGAACCCGGGUCCUCCGCCCACCAGAACUGCCUCCGACAUCCCUCAGCGCUUACUUAGCGCCCAGCACCGUACACGACCCAUUCCCUGGGUAGCUGCUGGUACUGAUGAGGUCUGGUUCCAGGAGGGCUGCAUGGAAGUGGAAGCCAGCCUUCCGGGACACACUGAAGCCAGAGAAGAGAAGCUACUUACCCAAGGUCGCACUGACAGCCUCCCCCAGAUUACUCACGCUCCCUUUACCAGGAUUGUCCCUACCGCCCGAGGACCCACAUGUACCCUGAGUGGAAAGACAGGAGGCCACCUGUGGGGCGUCCCUGGUGCCCUGGCCACGCGCCCUCGAGGCUGAUAGGCCACUGGAGUCUCUGGGACACGGGGUUAAUGAGCCACAUCUUUCAGCACAGCUGGCGAGCAGCUGGUCCAAGGUCACACUACCAGAACUCACCAAGAGAAUACUGAUACGUGUGCACCCGUGCUACUGGGUGGCGGAGGAAUGCCACCGCCACGUUGACGCCAUUUGUGACUCUCCACCCUGGCGGCCUCUUCAAAGCCACCAACCCCGGAGCCCCCACCCCCAGAGUUUCUGAUUCCUUGCGCCCAGGACACAGCCUGCCCCUGUUUGCUUUAGGAGCGCCCCAGGCGAGCCUAACUUGCAGCUUGGGGUGGAGACAGCGUUUCUCAAACUCUCCUGUGUAUUGGAAUCAUCUGGGAGGUUAAAAUACGGCCCUCCCCCACCCCAGCCUGAUUUAAUUGGGGCGGGGGGUGUGGCCUGGGCAUUAGGGUCUUGAAAUGCUCCCCCAGGUGAUUCAAACAUGUGGCCCGGUUGGAGAACACGGUUCUGGUUCGUUCUGCAUCCGGACUCUUGGCCCCACCCCUGAUCCCCUACAGACAGGGCUGCCCUGCCCUUGCAGAGUCCUCCCGAAAGAGACUUCGGUCCCGUGUUGCUGCUCAUAUAUAGAUAAGCGUCUCCAGAAAACUCUGUUCUCGGCUUCUGAAUGUCAAGAAGAAGUCAAUCCGAAGCAGUAAGUCUUCUGGCUGCCCCUCCCUGAACAGGAAAUAAACACUCAGCAUGAGUGGCAUGAAAACGU